rnacentral:rRNA from 1 species
UACAGAGGUCUCAAGCGUUGUUCGGAUUCAUUGGGCGUAAAGGGUGCGUAGGCGGCGCGGUAAGUCGGGUGUGAAAUCUUGGAGCUUAACUCCGAACUGCAUUCGAUACUGCCGUGCUUGAGGACUGGAGAGGAGACUGGAAUUUACGGUGUAGCGGUGAAAUGCGUAGAUAUCGUAAGGAAGACCAGUGGCGAAGGCGGAUCUCUGGACAGUUCCUGACGCUGAGGCGCGAAGGCCCAGGGGAGCAAACGGG